rnacentral:rRNA from 1 species
GACGAAGGAGCUUGCUCCUCUGACGUUAGCGGCGGACGGGUGAGUAACACGUGGAUAACCUACCUAUAAGACUGGGAUAACUUCGGGAAACCGGAGCUAAUACCGGAUAAUAUAUUGAACCGCAUGGUUCAAUAGUGAAAGACGGUUUUGCUGUCACUUAUAGAUGGAUCCGCGCCGCAUUAGCUAGUUGGUAAGGUAACGGCU